rnacentral:snoRNA from 1 species
GCCCACUGAUGAAAUCGCCCAGUGUUUGGAGGCUGCAAUCGGCUCCAAGUUCCUGCUUGUCAGGAAGAACCUACUUGGAGCCGCUGCAGUCGCAUGACAACACCGGGCAAAUCUGAGGU